UACGGAGGGGGCUAGCGUUGUUCGGAAUUACUGGGCGUAAAGCGCACGUAGGCGGCUUUGCAAGUUAGAGGUGAAAGCCCGGGGCUCAACUCCGGAAUUGCCUUUAAAACUGCAUCGCUAGAAUUGUGGAGAGGUAAGUGGAAUUCCGAGUGUAGAGGUGAAAUUCGUAGAUAUUCGGAAGAACACCAGUGGCGAAGGCGGCUCACUGGCUCAUACUGGACGCUGAGGUGCGAAAGCGUGGGGAGCAAACAGG
rnacentral:rRNA from 1 species